rnacentral:rRNA from 1 species
AGAGUUUGAUCCUGGCUCAGGACGAACGCUGGCGGCGUGCGUAAGGCAUGCAAGUCGAGCGCUCCUUCUGCCUUCGGGCAGUGGGGGAGCGGCGGACGGGUGAGUAACACGUGGGUGAUCUGCCCACCGGACCGGGACACCCUCUCGAAAGGGAGGUCGAUACCGGGUACGCCUACUGGGUUACGGCCCAGCUGGGAAAG